rnacentral:lncRNA from 1 species
AAGUAAAUCUAAGUAUAUAAGAGAAUAAGAGAUUCUACACAUCAUCAUAUUUUCCAAAGGCACCUCAAAUACUGUGUGCUUGAUAAGUUAAUCCUUGCUAUACGGAAUGGAGUGAAUCAGACAGUGGUAAAUUCAGUAUUCACAGAGGUCUAAAUAAGCUUCUCGGCACAACUAAAAAAAGCUGCACCAGAGGUAACUAUGUAAAUGCCUCGUCAUAAGUACCUGUCACAAUUCCUCAUUUUCACCUCCAUUCCACUAAACAUAAGAAUGCUACGACAAAGAAAACACCACAUCUAUGAGUGGCAAGCAAGGCCUUUCAUUUCACUCAGCAGCCAACACCCACCAGUACUUUUCAGCAUUUGUUUUAGCACGUCUGCCCCCAGUUGCUAAUUUAGUUUGAAGCUAUACUCCUAUUGUGGCAUGACAAAGAUCAAGUAAAUCUAAGUAUAUAAGAGAAUAAGAGAUUCUACACAUCAUCAUAUUUUCCAAAGGCACCUCAAAUACUGUGUGCUUGAUAAGUUAAUCCUUGCUAUACAGAAUGGAGUGAAUCAGACAGUGGUAAAUUCAGUAUUCACGGAGGUCUAAAUAAGCUUCUCGGCACAACUAAAAAAAGCUGCACCAGGAGUAGCUAUGUAAAUGCCUCGUCAUAAGUACCUGUCACAGUUCCUCAUUUUCAUCUCCAUUCCCUUAGACAUAAGAUUGCUACAACAAAGAAAACUACCACACCUAUGAGUGGCAAGCAAAAGCCUUACAGUUCACCCAGUACACCCCAGUGCUUUUAAGCACUAGUUUGGCAUGUCUAAUGUUCAGUUGCUAUUAACUUUGAUUUGAAGCAAUACCCAUAUUAUGGCAUGAAAAAGAUCAAGCAAAUCCUUAGUUGAGUAAAGAAAGUAUAAACUAUUUCAUUCACUGUCACAUUUCCAAAGGCAACUCAAAUACUUGUGCACUUGAUCAGUAUCCAGUUAGCUGAACACAUUUACAGCUAACGAGCUACUUGCCCUGGAUCUUGCUAGGAACACCAGCAUCAGAAAUAAUCAGAGUAACCAUGAACCCAUUAAAUCACCUAACGUCAGAUGAAAGGUAGAAACCAAGGCCUAUUGUGUGCUACUACCAAGGUUUAUUCCUGGAGCAUGUUAAGU